GACGAACGCUGGCGGCGUGCCUAAUACAUGCAAGUAGAACGCUGAAGGAGGAGCUUGCUUCUCUGGAUGAGUUGCGAACGGGUGAGUAACGCGUAGGUAACCUGCCUGGUAGCGGGGGAUAACUAUUGGAAACGAUAGCUAAUACCGCAUAACAGUAGAUAUCGCAUGAUAUCUACUUGAAAGGUGCAAUUGCAUCCCUACCAGAUGGACCUGCGUUGUAUUAGCUAGUUGGUGGGGUAACGGCUCACCAAGGCGACGAUACAUAGCCGACCUGAGAGGGUGAUCGGCCACACUGGGACUGGGACACGGCCCAGACUCCCACGGGAGGGAGCAGUAGGGAAUCUUCGGCAAUUGACGGAAGUCUUACCGAGCAACGCCGCGUGAGUGAAGGAGGUUUUCGGAUCGGAAAGCUCGGUUGUAAGAGAAGAAAGAGUGUGAGAGUGGAAAGUUCACACUGUGACGGUAUCUGACCAGAAAGGGACGGCUAACUACGUG
rnacentral:rRNA from 1 species